rnacentral:lncRNA from 1 species
CGCUAUAAUUUCUUCCAUAUCCAUUUUUGCUUCCAAUAAUUUUCUCUCCAUCACUUCGUUAUUCUCUUUUGCUUCCUCUUUCGCUUCUAACAACUUUUUAUCCAUCGCUUCCAUCUCUUUUUUUGCUUCAUACAUCUUCUCUGUCAUCUCAAUUUUCAUAGCUGAGGUAGCUUUUUGAACUUCCAUCUCAACCCUUGUAUCAAAAUCUCUUUUUUUUAACCCUUGAAUCAAAAUCUCUUUUUUCAGCCUGAGAUCGUUUAUAUACGGGGCCAUAUACUAAGCUAGGAGAUGCUCCUUUUCCUAGAGUUCGGACAAUUCCAUGAGUGUCUGAUCCCAUUACUUGGGCGUAUACAUCAUUAGGAGCACUUCCAGGGACAUUAAACUCAGGAUACACCUCAACAAGGUCAUCCAUAUGUUUCUUUUUGAAAGAAAGGUAAAGUAAUGAGAAGUUUUUUAAAAAAAUUGUAAUAGAAAGAAGAUACCUAUAUAUUUUUAAAGAGUAAGAGUUUACCAUAACUUCACCAGCUAUCUCAUUUACGGGUUGUUUAUUCGCUCUAAUGUGAGUUUUUUUGAACACCUCAAUACGAGUUGGCUGUACACCAUUAUUCAUCAUUGUCAUCUGUUUGAAAAGUAAGAGAUUGACAUUAAAUAUUCAUGAUAAGUAUUAUUUAAUAUAUAAAUUAUAGAAAAUAAAUAGUGAUUACUUCGUACAUCGUCUAUAAUUUGAGAAUGACUUUUUCUCCCUGAUGUGUGUGGCAUAGUCAAUUUUUUUCGACUUUCUUUGUUUCUCUCACUCUUUUCCUAGAAAUUUGAACACAACAAUAUAUAAGAGGACAUGCGCAAUCUUGAAUAUAUAAAAGAAAUAGCCAAGAAGAAAAUAUAAAAAAGCAGCAUAGUUUAGUUUCACAAAGUGCAAUCAAUUUCUAUACAAGAACAUUUUGUGCAGGUUGGCAAACUGGACAUGUACAACAACAUUAUUUCUGCCAAUUAGAAGAAAGGGACAAAUAAAAAAGGACUUCUAGUUGUUCUACAAUAAGAAGUAUAAUCAAGGAAAACACGACUUUAAUAAUUUAUGACAACUUCUAUGAAAUUCUCAUUUAGUAGAGCAAAUGCAGAAAUUGAAAUCUAGCACAUACCUUUGCUUCUUUUGAGCUCCAAUAAUGAACUAAUGAACGCCACUGAUCUUCUUCAACUCUAUCUGGACAAUGAGCUAAACGCUCAAUAUCAGUGUUAUAUGGGUCAUAUCCAAUGGUUUUUGCUUCAUGCUUUGAUUCUUUCCAUUUAGAUCCAAAUGACAUCAUCAGUAUGCGCUUCAUGUCAUCAGUUGCGUCAGUAUUUUCCUGUACAUAUAUUUAAUACACAACUCAUUUAUAAAAUAAAAUAUAAAAACAAAAACAUCUUAGUAUAUAGGUUUUGUGUAUACUAAGAACCUUGAUAUGAGCCCAUAUUCUAUCCUUGUACAUACUAGGUACAAGCCUCCAAUCUUUAUGAUUCAGUGGCGCUAAGAUGCCAUUUCGUGCUAGCACACCAAGUUUUGAACUCAAUCUAGUUCCUUCUGACCCAAUAACUUGACCAUGUUCAUUCAAUUCAUUAUGUAAAUUUCCACCAUCUUUCCCCCAUCCCGAGUGCAUCAUAGUGGGACCCCUAGUUCGCUUAGAUUGCUCUUCACUCUCAUUAGAAUGUAUAAAUAAUCAAAGAUAAAAAGAGGCAAAUUUAUUAUUUAUAUAAAAAUUAUGUAAGUACUUCAUACAAUGAAAGGCGAAAUAAAUAUCAUCAGAUUUAAUACCUGGAAGAUUUUUUGUAUCAUGUGAUUCAUCUCCUUCAUUUUGUGGCCAAUUUUGGGACGGUUGAGGCAUUGACAUACUUCCGAUUUGUUGUUUUUGUUGCUCAGAAUCUAUCAAUAAGAAAAGAUAAGAAAAGGCAAAUUUAUUAUUUAUAUAAAAAUUAUCUAAUUACUUUAUACUAUGGAAGGAAGAAUAAAUAUCAUGAUAUUUAAUACCUGGAAGAUUUUUUGUAUCAUGUGAUUCAUCUCCUUCAUUUUGUGGCCAAUUUUGGGACGGUUGAGGCAUUGACAUACUUCCGAUUUGUUGUUUUUGUUGAUUCGAAGAAUCAUAAAAAAGCUCACCUUGACUAGAAUUUCUCUGUCUUUUUCUUGCCAUUUCAACAAAGUUCCUCAGCAGCUAUGAAUCCUGCCAAAUUUAAAGUAGUUAGACUAUACAAAAGUAUAAAAUAAUAUCUAACUAUGAUGUCAAAUAAUAAGACAUAUAAACAUAUGAGAUUUUAGCAGUUGAAUGAAGAGUAAAAACAUCAAAGUCAUUAUUGUUCAACAAUCAAUUGUACUGAAAUAGUGAUUAUACUACUAUAGUAACAAAAACUAAGAUAUGUUGUCAUCUUCAUCAUAUGCUUCAUUACUUUCCAAAGUUUCUGGGUCAAUUUCUAAUCCUGGUACUCCUUCUCUAACCCAUUCAAUGUCUUCUUCAGUUUCAAAUGUUGUGUCAUCCAAUUGUUGUUCAGGCCACAACUCCAUAUGUCCUUCCUUAUGCUCAAUUGUUGUUGUGUCUUCACCUAAAUCAUAAAAACCUCUUGGCUUAAGUUUAACAACCAUUCGCCACUCCUUUUUCAUAGGAUGAUCGACAUAAAACACUUGUUGAGCUUGAGAAGCAAAGAUGAAUGGUUCAUCUGAUAACUGAUGUCUUGUAUAGAGUAGAUGAUUAAAAUUCACAAGAGUAAAUCCAUAAUCAUCUUUCUCAAUAAGCCCCUUGCUAUUGUUCACCCAUUUACAUUUAAACAAUACAAACUUGAGAUUCUUGGAAUAAUAUAACUCAAUUAUGUCUGUGAGGAUUCCAUAAAAAGAAACCUCUGCCAAUAUGGGAUUUUUAUCUUUUGUGCUUCCAUAACUUUGAGUGAUAGCCUUUAACAUAAUACCACUAUUUUGAGUUUUUCUCUUAACAUCACGAGACUCUGUUAAGUAUCUAACUCCAUCACAUAUAUAGCCAGUCAUUCUUUUUGCUUGUAUUAAUGGGUAUCACUACGGAAGUAAAACACGUAACUAUUUAAUAAAAAUUUGAAAGAAAUUAUUUAAUAAUUAAUUACUAAGUAUAAAUUAUGAUUUAAUACUUACUCACGAUAUGAAGUUGUGGAGGUAGAAUUAAAUAAAACAUAUCUGUGGGCUUGAGCACGUGUAAUGUCAUCAAGCUUAAAUCCUUUCUCUCUACUUGAUCGACGACCCUCUUGGUCCUUUGUUUCAUUAGAUAAAACAUCAUUUCUUAAAGGUGGAUUAGACUUAGUCUCGACCUCAUCUAAAUACCAUGAGCAAAACGUCAUUAACUCGUCUAUCCAACGUCCCUCUGCAAUCGCACCUUCUGGAUAACGUCUAUUCCUUACGUAGUUUUUAAGACAAAGCAAGAACCUAAAAUAGACAAUUUUUAGAAUACAAAUACAAUUUCUUGUAAGUAUGAUAAAAAAAAUAACAAACUGAUACCGUUCGAUAAACCACAUUGAGCGAUAUUAUGAAGGUCCUCCCAACAUUGCUUCUUCAGCUAAAUGGAUAAGUAGAUGUUCCAUGAUAUCAAAGAAAGAUGGAGGAAAUAUUCUCUCCAAAUGACAUAGAGUUAUUGCAACUCGAUCUUGGAGUUUUUCUAAGUCACCUAUCUUCAGAUCUUUUGAACAAAUGCCCCUAAAGAAAUUACUUAAUUCAAUCAUUGGCUUAAGUACAUUCAUCGGCAGGAGAUUCCGCAAGGCAAUAGGAAGGAGUUGUUGCAUUAAAAUAUGGCAGUCAUGACUCUUCAACCCCAUGCAUUGUGCGUUGCUUGAGAUCAACACAACUUGAGAUAUUUGAAGCAUAUCCGUCUGGCACUUUCACAUCUUUUAACACUUGUAAGAGGAUGUCUUUUUGUGUGUUACUCAAUGUGAAACAUGCAGGAGGAAGAUAAUACUUUCCAUUAGCCUUUUUCUUAGGAUGCAAAGCUUUUCGGAUCCCCAUCUCCUGUAAAUCUAAACGGGAAUUUAAAUUAUCUUUUCCUUUUCCAUCAACAUUCAAUAAUGUCCAAAAUAUAUUGUCAAAGACAUUCUUUUCAAUAUGCAUCGUAUCAAGAUUAUGACGAAUCAUAUUGCUUUCCAAUAUUCCAACUCAAAAAUAUGCUCUUUUUGUUCCAUAUAUUUUGCACCAAAUUAUCAACAUCAUCCUAUUUCCUUUUACGAGAUUUGGCCAAUAGAUCUUUACCAAAUUUAUUUUUAAUAUUAUUCAAUUGCUUAAGAAUCUCAAUUCCUGUCAACCAUUUAGGUGCUCCAUCUAACUCCACAAGGCCAUUGAAUGCAACUUUAUCUUUUCGAAACUUGUGUCCAUGAGAUAACCAUCACCUAUGAGACAUGAAACAAUAUUUUCACCCAUUUUUCAAUCUUGUAAAUUUAGUUUUGGUAAGACAACAUGGACAAGCAUAUCUAGUUUUCACACCAUAUCCUGAUAAGUUACCUAACGCUGGAAAAUCACUAAUUGUCCAAAGCAAUGCUGCACGCAUUUGAAACAUGUGAUUGUUUGAUGUGUCAUAAGUGGCAACACCAACCCACAAUUCUUUUAACUCAUCAACUAAGGGUUGUAGAUAGACAUCAAUAUCAUUACCUGGUGCACGAGGACCAUCAAUAAUAGUUGAUAAUAUCAUAUAUGGUUGUUUCAUGCACAACCAUGGUGGCAAAUUAUAUGGAAUCAAGAUAACAGGCCAUGUGCUAUGUGAGAUAGACAUAGACUUAAAUGGACUAAAGCCAUCUGAAGCUAUUCCAAGUCUAACAUUUCGAGGAUCUCGAGCAAAGUCUGUAUGCGCUUCAUCAAAUUUCCUCCAAGCAAUACUGUCUGCAGGAUGUCGCAUUACCCCAUAUCUAGUGCGACCUUCGGCAUGGCAUCUCAUUUGAGUAGAUGUUUUAGCCGACAUAAAUAGUCUUUGAAGUCGUGGUAUUAAUGGAAAAUAUCUAAACACCUUUUGAUGGAAUUUUUGAUGUUUCUAAACUGGAAUUAACUGAUGCACCUUUGAACUGUUUGUAUCUUGGAGCUUUGCAAAACUUACAAGAUGUUCUAUCUUUCGUCUCAUUCCAAUAAAUCAUACAAUCAUUUGGACAUGCAUGUAUCUUUUUAUAUUCAAGUCCUAAAUCUUUAAUAAUCUUCUUUGAAUCAUAAAGGACUUGGGUAAUGUUUCACCUUCUGGAAGCACAUCUUUUAACAACUCUAACAGCAUGGAAAAUGAUUUGUUACUCCAUCCAUUGAGACACUUUAAGUGUAAUAGACGAACAAGGAACGAAAGUAGUGAAUACUUGCUUCCAGGAUAUAACUCACGUUCAGCUUCUUUCAGUAAGCUAAAGAAUUCUUCAGUCUUCUUAUCAAAACCCAUGUUAUGUUGAUUUGACCCAUCAAAUCCUUUAGCACUAGUGUCCAUAUCAACAAAAUUAGAUGUAGGAGGAAUUCCAAAUGCUUCAUGUAACAUGUCUUGCAUCUCAUCACCUUUAUCUAACUGACUGACCAAUUUUGAUGAAAAUAACUCCUCACCAUGAUAAAUCCAACUAGUGUAACUAGUUAGAAAUCCAUCAACCACAAUAUGUUCAACAAUUAAAUCUUUUCGAACAAAUUUCAUAUUACGACACUUUCGACAGGGACACAAUAUUGUAGAUGCAUCUGGCCUAUCUAAUGAUGCAAAAUGAAGAAACUCUUUGGCUCCAUUCUCAUAUAAGGGAUCAAGCCUAUUCAAUAUAUUUAUCCAACUUUUAUCCAUUAAGUAUAUAACCUAUAACAUAUAGCAAACAAGAAUUAUACCCUCAUACUAUUAAAGACUAAUACCUCCAUACUAUUAAAGAAAUCAACAAAACACAUACUAACCUGCAAAGUCCACACAAAGAAUCCUGAAAUUGAUAUCAAUGUUCUUCCACUACGGUUGCUUUCUUUGUAAUCUUCAAACUACAAAUCAAUAGUUAAAUUUCAACAAAUCAAUAUAAUGUAUAAAGGCUAGUCAUGUGAAAUUAUCAGUACUUGAGGUAAUAUACUCACCUCAAGUAAAUCAACUAUUCAAAGAGAAGAGGAAGAGAGACAAAAGGUGAAUUUAUGGUCGAAUUUGGAGAAAAAUGAGACAAAGAGGCUUGGCGGGAAGUGAUGAGUCAUUGUGAUGUUUUUGAUGGAAUGUGGGUGAAAGAUGAUGCUAACCCUAUGUAUGAACCUGGUUCUUGUCCUUUUAUUGAUGAGUCAUUUGAUUGUUAUCAAAAUGGAAGGCCUGAUAAUGGUUAACAGAACUUUAGAUGGCAGCCUAAGCACUUUAAUAUUCCAAGAUAAUAAUGCUACUUUUGUUAUUUAUUGCAUAUGCAUUACUAGGUAGGGGCAGAGCCACAAUAUCGGCCUAACAUAGUUGCCUUGGUUCAAAUCCUGUAUUUAUCUUAAAAUCUGCUAUUGACAGGUUCAAACUGUGGAAAUAACCUGCAAGAUAAUGCUGCAUAGAAUAAAUCAAAUAUGGUCUGUCCAUUCCUGGACCCUGCAUAUAGCAUGAGUUGUGCACCAGUCUAUCCUCUUUUAGUUUUAUGCAUUGCUAGGCUUAAUUUUGGUAAUGUUUUUUUUUUGUAAAAUAGUAUUACUUCACUUUUCAGGUUGAAUGCCAAAGAAAUAUUGGAGCUUUUGAGAGGAAAGCGAUUAGUCUAUGUCGGUGACUCUCUGAAAAGGAUAUGUGGGAAUCAAUGCAUGGUUUGUCUGCUCAGAAAUUCUGUUGAAGACAAGAAUAGAGUUUUUGAGGUAUCUGGAAGAGAGACUUUCUAAAAAGAGGGUGCUUAUUCUUUUAUAUUCGCAGUAAGUUUCAUAAUUUCACUUGUCUUCUGUUCCCACUAAUGUCAAAAUUAUCCAAAAAACUAUUCUUACAUCUUAGUAAAUGGGGGUGAAAGGACUGGUGGAUGAGGAGAGAGUACAAGGUUAAGGAUGUAUCUAUUGUAGAUGGUGCAUCUACAUUGCCUGAAGCAAAGUUUUGGAAAUUAACAAUCUAACGGAACAAUGAAGACAAAGGUAAUGGUACAUCAUUACAGGUUCUUCUCCAAGACCUGUACAUGAUGCAUCUAAAUUGCUCGAUAAAAUAAGUCAAUUAGGCAAAGUGACUAAGCUGACUUAACAAAUAAGACGUCUUGCAUUAUAUGUCAUACAAUAAACUGUUCAUAUGACUGUCAAACUAAAACUUUCACAUUCUUCCUAGGUUUGCUGAAGUCUAAUAUAGAAUAUGCCAUAAGAGAGAUUUAGCUUACAAACACCGACUCCGCAAUAACAAAUUAAACUCAGAUACUCUCUAGUGUCAGGGUUGUGACAGAAGCUACAACUACCCAACUAGAAUUACUAGCACAGUUAUGUCAAGAUCAUCCAAUCAACUACUACAUCUCAGAUCCAAACUAUUUGGUGAAUGAAUUAGAAGUCUAGAACAUAGAGUAACUGGAUGAGGCAUUGUUGCAGAUAUUCAUCCAGAAUCUAACUGAAAGACUCAAUAUGCGCAUAACAUCUUGCAUAGAGAUAUACAAUAAAAUUUAAUCCUCUUUCUAGAGUUGUAAGCAUUUACUCUACUCCUACUUGGCUACUUGUUAACUGGAAAAAAAUCACACACCCCUAUUUAAUUUGUAACUAGAUCCUUAUUAUAUAGUGGUUUGUUUAUUUUUACAACAACAAAAGCAUAUCCGGUGCAAUCUCAUAAGUUGGGUUUUACAACAACAAAAACCAUAGUCUCCCGAUCCUAUGACUGCCUAAAAAUCAUAAUCAUGUCGUGUAAGACCUAAUAAGCAUGAUCAACUAAGAACUAAACAACAGAAUAUGCAGUCGACUGAUAGGAAAAAUAAUACAACAUCACAGAUAGACUCAAGGCAGCAUCAUUACCAAGAAGAAGAGCCAAAUCAGCAGGAAUAACAGUGGCAAA